UCAAAACGAACCACCAUUCUAGUUUGGUGGAACCACCAAGGCCUGAAUAUGCGUUUUACUUGCGAAAGGCCUCGGCUACUACAAUGACAGGGCCAAGAAAUCGGGCCGGAAUAGCAGCUCUUUCGCGCGAAUCCGCUCCCGGCGUCGGGAUAACUUCCGACCACACGAGCCUGCUACCCUAUAGCCUGCGCCGCCUAAACGAGCCAGUGUGGAGAAACGUUUCACUCCAUACUUAAGCCCGAAGGCAACUAGACCAAAGGG
rnacentral:lncRNA from 1 species